rnacentral:rRNA from 1 species
CAACGGCAAUGCCCUAGUACGGCGAGUGAGCGGCAACAGCUCAAAUUUGAAAGCUAGCCUUCGGGUUCGCAUUGUAAUUUGUAGAGGAUGAUUUGGGGAAGCCGCCUGUCUAAGUUCCUUGGAACAGGACGUCAUAGAGGGUGAGAAUCCCGUAUGUGACAGGAAAUGGCACCCUAUGUAAAUCUCCUUCGACGAGUCGAGUUGUUUGGGAAUGCAGCUCUAAAUGGGAGGUAAAUUUCUUCUAAAGCUAAAUAUUGGCGAGAGACCGAUAGCGCACAAGUAGAGUGAUCGAAAGAUGAAAAGCACUUUGGAAAGAGAGUUAAAAAGCACGUGAAAUUGUUGAAAGGGAAGCGCUUGCAAUCAGACUUGUUUAAACUGUUCGGCCGGUCUUCUGACCGGUUUACUCAGUUUGGACAGGCCAGCAUCAGUUUCGGCGGCCGGAUAAAGGCUCUGGGAAUGUGGCCUCCACUUCGGUGGAGGUGUUAUAGCCCAGGGUGUAAUACGGCCAGCCGGGACUGAGGUCCGCGCUUCGGCUAGGAUGCUGGCGUAAUGGUUGUAAGCGACCCGUCUUGAAACACGGACCAAAAAAU